AAAUGAAUAGACGGGGGCCCGCACAAGCGGAGGAGCAUGUGGCUUAAUUCGAUGCAACGCGAAGAACCUUACCAGGGCUUGACAUGUAACUGCAAGUCCCGUGAAAGCGGGAUGCCUUCGAGGGUGUUACACAGGUGCUGCAUGGCUGUCGUCAGUUCGUGCCGUGAGGUGUUGGGUUAAGUCCCGCAACGAACGCAACCCUUGUGUUUAGUUGCCACUGCCGGUGAUGAAUCGGCAAGCACUCUAGACAGACUGCCCAUAUCAAGUGGGAGGAAGGUGGGGAUGACGUCAAGUCAGUAUGGCCUUUAUGCCCUGGGCUGCACACGUGCUACAAUGGUCGGUACAGAGGGUCGCAAGACCGCGAGGUGGAGCUAAUCCCCAAAAACCGGCCUCAGUUCGGAUUGGAGUCUGCAAUUCGACUCCAUGAAGUUGGAUUCGCUAGUAAUGGCGCAUCAGCUACGGCGCCGUGAAUACGUUCCCGGGCCUUGUACACACCGCCCGU
rnacentral:rRNA from 1 species